rnacentral:rRNA from 1 species
GUAGUUUGAUCUUGGCUCAGAUUGAACGCUGGCGGCAUGCCUUACACAUGCAAGUCGAACGGCAGCAUGAUCUAGCUUGCUAGAUUGAUGGCGAGUGGCGAACGGGUGAGUAAUACAUCGGAACGUGCCCUGUAGUGGGGGAUAACUAGUCGAAAGAUUAGCUAAUACCGCAUACGACCUGAGGGUGAAAGUGGGGGACCGCAAGGCCUCAUGCUAUAGGAGCGGCCGAUGUCUGAUUAGCUAGUUGGUGGGGUAAAGGCCCACCAAGGCGACGAUCAGUAGCUGGUCUGAGAGGACGAUCAGCCACACUGGGACUGAGACACGGGCCCAGACUCCUACGGGAGGCAGCAGUGGGGAAUUUGGACAAUGGGCGAAAGCCUGAUCCAGCAAUGCCGCGUGUGUGAAGAAGGCCUCGGUGU